UGGCGCAGUUAAGAAACAAUCUUAAGAUUGGUCAAACGGGUCGCUCGGAUUUUCCGAAGAAAAUCCACACAUAAAAGAAAAGAAAAAACAAAAUCAAUUUUAAAAAUAAAAAUAUGGCGUUUCCGAGGCCUUAAAACAGUUUUUAUAAAAAAAAAGAAGAAAAUUCGAACAUCACCAUGGCAACUAUUAACAGCUCCGAGCUCCUGAAGGAAGCUUCGAGAACAAGGCCAUUCAACGGAAGUGAUGGUUACGACCUAUCCUCAUUUAUAAGAAAAGUGGAUGCCAUACUCCGCCUCUUUAACGAAAACCCAUCGUUAAAGGAAUUUGUUAUUCAACGCUACGUACUAACGAAAAUAAAUGGAGACGUCCUGAAGGUAGUCCGACCUUUAGGAAGCACACCGAUGUGGGACGACGUAAAGGAGGAACUCAUCCGGAACUUCGGGGUAAACAAGAGCUACAGGAGUCUGUACCACCAGGCGAUCAACGUUAAGCACUACAAUGUCCGUCCCUCCGGGUGUUGAAAGUAUGUGUUUUAAUGCUGGUUAUCGUUCUAAUGGUGCUCUGCUAUCGGGGUUAUUGAAUCGUUUUUAUUUCCGUAAAUAUUACUGUAAUGUCACAAACACUGAAUGUAUGUUAAAUACUGUAUAGAAAAACUGUUUGAAUACAGACUUCACUGCUUAAGAUAUCUAGCGAAACUAAAAGUUUGGAAACAGUGUACUCGUAUUUAUACAGUAUAUACAACAUACGUUUUCUGUAUUAGUAUAAGGCAGAUAUCUAUCUAUCUUCUAUAUAUCUUCUAUCUUCUAUAUAAAUAAAAAUGAAUUGUUGUUCGUUAGUCUGAUUAAAACUCGAGAACGGUUGGGCCGAUUGAGCUGACUUUGGUUUUAAAAUGUUUGUCGUAGUCCAGGGUAGGUCUAAACGGUGAGCAAAUAAGGAGGAGAAUUACGAGUAAGAUAGAGUAAAACGACAAUUCCAUUUUCCCAUAUAAAAGUUGACCACUUACUUGCUGUCAAACAUUUGAUGGUAUCUGUACUCUCAGUUCCACUCGAAUUGAAGAACGCAUUAAAACAAGACUUUUGAAUCGACAACAUAAUAUCAACUUUGCUCAUAACAUCGUGUAUUUAAAUUUCAAUUUCAAAUUUCAAAAUAUAUAAAUAUAAUUAAUGUGUUGACAUGUUUGAUGGUGCCAAUCUUACAGUGUUACCAACUCUCAAAAAUACUUUUAUUAUAAUAACGGGGCAUCUCUGCCUGUGCAGACUCCACAUUGCUCAUUGCUUACUAGAUAUAGAAUACUACAUAGUUUGCCAUAUAUCGUAAGCUAGAAGCUGUCUCUUCAGCAGUUUAACAGCGCAGUUUUCAUUUAUAUGAAACUUUCGAAGAGGCAACAUAUCCCAUUUCCACAUAUGCCGACGGCAUUUUAAUUUUGGUAAUAUGAAAAUUAGAAGAGCGAGUUAAGACGGUUGUGUUAUAUUAUAAAAAUAAAGUACAUUUUCAAAUAACA